rnacentral:rRNA from 1 species
CCUACGGGAGGCAGCAGUAGGGAAUCUUCCACAAUGGGCGAAAGCCUGAUGGAGCAACGCCGCGUGGGUGAAGAAGGUCUUCGGAUCGUAAAACCCUGUUGUUAGAGAAGAAAGUGCGUGAGAGUAACUGUUCACGUUUCGACGGUAUCUAACCAGAAAGCCACGGCUAACUACGUGCCAGCAGCCGCGGUAAUACGUAGGUGGCAAGCGUUAUCCGGAUUUAUUGGGCGUAAAGGGAACGCAGGCGGUCUUUUAAGUCUGAUGUUAAAGCCUUCGGCUUAACCGGAGUAGUGCAUUGGAAACUGGGAGACUUGAGUGCAGAAGAGGAGAGGGGAACUCCAUGUGUAGCGGUGAAAUGCGUAGAUAUAUGGAAGAACACCAGUGGCGAAAGCGGCUCUCUGGUCUGUAACUGACGCUGAGGUUCGAAAGCGUGGGUAGCAAACAGGAUUAGAGACCCCAGUAGUC